AGGCUAAGCACUCCCUGUGCCAGGGUUACGGCAUGACAGAGACAACACUUCUCACACACGUAAUGAUGGACAUAAACAGCACGAAGUAUGCCAGCGUCGGAAACCUGGUGGCCAAUACAAUGUGUAAAGCUACAACAACUAUACUCACAACAAUAUA